rnacentral:tRNA from 1 species
GGGCCCAUAGCUCAGUUGGAAGAGCAACCGGCUCAUAACCGGUUGGUCCCUGGUUCGAGUCCAGGUGGGCCCACCA